CAGACAAAAAUGCCACUUAUCAGCUUUUGUUGUAACUUUCAGACUGAUAAAAAUUACUAUGAGUUUGUUAGAAUCUAAACAUUCUCAGUUUCUUGGGUUAUUAAACCAAACAAAUCGCCUGAGUAUGCGGAACUCGAGGAAUACUUAAGGAAGUGCGUUUGCUUUUGGGCUAACAACGGUAACAAUAAUUGAAACAUCUCUGGGUCUCGAAAAUUUCGCACAAAAGCUCCGCACAUAUCAAGUAGAUAGUCCACACACUCACGGCCAUAUGCAAAGCCGCUCAGAGAGCACUCACCGAAAUCCCCAUGCCUCCAUCCUGGUUUUUGGUAUCCUGGCAUUACCUAGAGCCAUCACUCAGUGAAAAAAAGGAAAGGAGCAGCAGCAGGAGCAGGGCAAAAAAUAAUAAUACUUUGCUCCUCCGGCAGGGCACAGAAUAAAGACAUAAAACAAACAAAUGCCGGCAUCGAGGAGGAAAUAUGCUAGGAACCCGUCCAGAGGAAGGUGGAUUGAAUGGUUGACUGGCAGUGGAGUGGCUUUUAGUGCGUUCAAGCAGAAAAAUAUAUAGAAAACAAUAAACCGAAAUUACAACAAGAGCAAGUGCGGCACGAGCCACAGCAAAAACCAAAAAUUGCAAAAAAAAAAUAGAAAUAUAUUGGCAAACAGAAUGUUUAUAAGCCAUAAAGCAUUUGCCAGACCCAGCUGCAUAUUCAUAUAAAUAUUUGCAUGCUAAAAUUUGAUGAGUAGUUAUAUAUUUUCCCGACACAAAACAGCAGGCAAACAUUACAUCAA